CCUACGGGAGGCAGCAGUGAGGAAUAUUGGUCAAUGGGCGCGAGCCUGAACCAGCCAAGUCGCGUGAGGGAUGACGGUCCUACGGAUUGUAAACCUCUUUUGCCGGGGAGCAAGCGUGCGUUCGUGAACGCGCGUCGAGAGUACCCGGAGAAAAAGCAUGGGCUAACUCAGUGCCAGCAGCCGCGGUAAUACGGAGGAUGCGAGCGUUAUCCGGAUUUAUUGGGUUUAAAGGGUGCGUAGGCGGGAGGCCAAUUCAGCGGUAAGAAUGCGGUGCUCAACGCCGUCGAGCCUUUGAUACUGGCGUUCUUGAGUGGGCGAGAAGUAUGCGGAAGGCGUGGUGUAGCGGUGAAAUGCAUAGAGAUCACGCAGAACUCCGAUUGCGAAGGCAGCAUAUCGGGGCCCUACUGACGCUGAGGUACGAAAGCGUGGGUAUCGAACAGGAUUAGAUACCCGUGUAGUC
rnacentral:rRNA from 1 species